rnacentral:rRNA from 1 species
GACGAACGCUGGCGGCGUGCUUAACACAUGCAAGUCGAACGGAAAGGCCCUGCUUGCAGGGUACUCGAGUGGCGAACGGGUGAGUGACACGUGGGUGAUCUGCCCUGCACUUCGGGAUAAGCCUGGGAAACUGGGUCUAAUACCGGAUAGGAGCCAUUUUUAGUGUGAUGGUUGGAAAGUUUUUUCGGUGUAGGAUGAGCUCGCGGCCUAUCAGCUUGUUGGUGGGGUAAUGGCCUACCAAGGCGGCGACGGGUAGCCGGCCUGAGAGGGUGGACGGCCACAUUGGGACUGAGAUACGGCCCAGACUCCUACGGGAGGCAGCAGUGGGGAAUAUUGCACAAUGGGCGCAAGCCUGAUGCAGCGACGCCGCGU